rnacentral:misc_RNA from 1 species
AACGCAUCUUGCGCUCCUUGGUAUUCCGAGGAGCAUGCCUGUUUGAGUGUCAUUAAAUUCUCAACUACAUGGAUUCGUGUAGCUUGGAUUUGGGAGGGUUCAUUUCUGCUGGCUUGUGAAUCAAGUCGGCUCUCCUGAAAUACAUUAGCAGGGCAUAACUUUGUAGAACGGGUCUAUAGGUGUGAUAAAUUUAUCUACGCCUUGGAUGUCUGCAUGACAAUGGUUUAUACUGCUUUUAAUGUCAUCUCUCACUUGAGAGACAUUUAUUUGACAAUUUUGACCUCAAAUCAGGUAGGAUUACCCGCUGAACUUAA